AUUUCCAUGGGGGGGGGGUGGAAGGGGGGCCUCAGCUCGCAGGUGGGGGGAGGGGUCUCGGGAGGGUCAUUAAUUUGGGCCAUUGGUCCCCGAGGUCCCAAAAUAAAUGGGGACGUGCAGGGGAUGAUGGGAGCGGGCGGCGCUGCCCCCACCCCAAAACGGAGCUGACAACGGAGGCUGAGUCGGCACCUGGACUUCAGAAUGGGGACCCUAAAAUCAGCGCCGUGACUGUGAGGCUGGGACCCCAAAACUGGAGGUGGGACCCCAAAACCAGCAGCAGGAUUCUGGAAUUGGAUCCCGAAACUGGAAUUGGGAGCUUGGAAUUGAGACCCCAAAAACAGCAACGGGACCCCCAAACUGGGACCCCAAUAUCAGCACCGGGACCCCAAAACUGAGACCAGGACCUUGUAAGUGGGACCCCAAAAUCAGCAGCAGGACCUGGAAAUUGGACCCCAAUAUCAGCACCGGGACCCCAAAACUGAGACCAGGACCUUGUAAGUGGGACCCCAAAAUCAGCACCAGGACCUGGAAAUUGGACCCCAAUAUCAGCACCGGGACCCCAAAACCGAGACCAAGACCUUAAAGUGGGACCCCAAAAUCUACCCUGGGACCCCAAAAGCAGACCCAUGACGAUGUAAUCAGCAUCAAGGACCCCAAAAUCUGGCACUGGGACCCCAAAUUUCACCACUUGGACCCAAAAAUUAGCAUUGGGGACCCCAAAAUCCGGCACUGAGACCCCAAAUUUCAGCACUCGGACUCCAAACCCAACACCAAGACCCCAAAUUCCAGCACUGGGACCCCAAAUUUCACCACUUGGACCCCAAAAAUCAGCAUUGGAGACCCCCAAAUCCGGCACUGGGACCCCAGAUUUCACCACUUGGACCCAAAAAUCAGCAUUGGGGACCCCAAAAUCCAGCUCUGGGACCCCAAAUUUCAGCACUUGGACUCCAAACCCAACACCAAGACCCCAAAUUCCGUCACUGGGACCCCAAAUUUCACCACUUGGACCCAAAAAUCAACAUUGGGGACCCCAAAAUCCGGCACUGAGACCCCAAAACCAGGACCCAGGACCCAUGGCUGAGGGGUGUCCCCUCCCUGGGGAGGUGACAGAGGGGGACAGCGGUGUCCCCAAAGGGGACGUCGAUGUCCCCGAGGUCACCGUCACUCCUUGGGCCAGCGGCAUCACCAUCACUGUGACGGUGGCACCGGCGGAUGAGGACAUCGAGGACAUUUGGGACAUUGGGGACACCGAGGACGUUGGGGACAUUGGGGACACCGCUGAGGACAUUGGGGGUGCGGAUGUGGGGCGCGGGGACGUCCCCGUUCCACGUGACAGAGAUGUCCCAACCCUGAAGGGUUUUGGGGACGGGGAUGGCAUUGAUGUCACAGCCCUAAAGGACACUGAGGUGACAGAGGUGGUGACACCAAGGGGUGUUGGGGACAGGGAUGUCCCAACCCCGGGGGAUAUGGGGGGCAGGGAUGUCUCCAUCUAUGGGGACAAGGAUGUCCCGGUCCACGAGGAUGAGGGUGACGGGGACAGGGAUGUCAUAGGUGUAUGGGAUGAUGGGGACAAGGGCUUUGGGGACGGGAAUGCCACCACCCCAAGGGACGAAGUUUGGGAUGUCCCCGUUCCCAGUAUGGAGAAGGGCAGUGGGAAUGGGGGUGUCUUGGCUGCUGGAGACGAGGACAUUGGGGACAUCCCAACCGUAAGGGACAUUGGGGACAUCCCAACCGUAAGGGACAUUGGGGACAUCCCAACCGUAAGGGACAUUGGGGACAAGGAUGUCACAACCCCUAAGGACGAGGACACCAAGGAAAAGCCUGUCCCAACCAUGGGGGAUGAGGACUUUGGGGGCGAGGGUGGUGGGGACAGGGAUGUCCCGUCCCCAGUGGGCUUUGGGGACAAGGACACUGGGGACAAGGAUGUCCCAUCCCCUAAUGGCAUUGGGGACAAGGAUAUUGGGGACAAGGACAUUGGAGAGAAGGGUGUCCCAUCCCCCAUGGGCUUUGGGGACAAGGACUUUGGGGACAAGGAUGUCCCAUCCCCCAUGGACUUUGGGGACAAGGACGUCCCAUAUCUCAUGGGCAUUGGGGACAAGGACAUUGGGGACAAGGACUUUGGGGACAAGGAAGUCCCAUCCCCUAUUGGCUUUGGGGACAAGGAUGCUGGGGACAAGGAUGUCCCAUCUGUCACAGGCUUUGGGGACAAGGACUUUGGGGACAAGGGUGUUCCAUCCCCUCUGGGCUUUGGGGACAAGGUCUUUGGGGACAAGGAUGUUGGGGACAAGGAUGUCCCAUCCCCUAAUGGCAUUGGGGGCAAGGAUGUUGGGGAGAAGGAAGUCCCAUCCCCUAUCGGCUUUGGGGACAAGGACGUCCCAUCCCCCAUGGGCUUUGGGGACAACGACAUUGGGGACAAGGAAGUCCCAUCUGUCACGGGCUUUGGGGACAAGGAUGUUGGGGACAAGGAUGUCCCACCCCCUAAGGCCUUUGGGGACAAGGACAUUGGGGACAAGGACUUUGGGGACAAGGACGUGCCAUCCCCCAUGGGCUUUGGGGACAAGGAAGUCCCAUCUGUCACGGGCUUUGGGGACAAGGACUUUGGGGACAAGGAUGUCCCAUCCCCCAUGGGCUUUGGGGACAAGGACGUCCCACCCCCUAAGGCCAUUGGGGACAAGGACAUUGGGGACAAGGACUUUGGGGGCAAGGAUGUCCCAUCCCCUAUGGGCUUUGCGGACGAGGACAAUGGGGACAAGGAUGUCCCAUCCCCUCUGGGCUUUGGGGACAAGGACUUUGGGGAGAAGGAUGUCCCAUCCCCUAUCGGCUUUGGGGACAAGGAUGUUGGGGACAAGGACAUCCCACCCCCUAAGGCCUUUGGGGACAAGGACUUUGGGGACAAGGACUUUGGGGACAAGGAUGUCCCAUCCCCCGUGGGCUUUGGGGACAAGGACGUCCCAUCCCCUAAGGCCUUUGGGGACAAGGACGUUGGGGACAAGGACAUCCUACCCCCUAAGGCCUUUGGGGACAAGGACUUUAGGGACAUGAAUGUCCCAUCCCCUAUCGGCUUUGGGGACAAGGACGCUGGGGACAAGGAUGUCCCACCCCCUAAGGCCUUUGGGGACAAGGACUUUGGGGACAAGGAUGUUGGGGACAAGGAUGUCCCAUCCCCCAUGGGCUUUGGGGACAAGGACGUCCCAUCCCCUCUGGGCUUUGGGGACAAGGACUUUGGGGACAAGGAUGUCCCAUCCCCCAUGGGCUUUGGGGACAAGGACGUCCCAUCCCCUAAGGCCUUUGGGGACAAGGACGUUGGGGACAAGGACAUCCCACCCCCUAAGGCCUUUGGGGACAAGGACUUUAGGGACAUGAAUGUCCCAUCCCCUAUCGGCUUUGGGGACAAGGAUGCUGGGGACAAGGAUGUCCCACCCCCUAAGGCCUUUGGGGACAAGGACAAUGGGGACAUCCCAACCCCAGGAGAUGUUUGGGAUGAGGAGGUUGGGGACAUCCAGGUCCCAACCCUAAGGGACUUUGGGGACAGAGAGUUUGGGGACAGAGAGUUUGGGGACAAAGAGUUUGGGGACAAAGAGAUUGGGGACAAAGAGAUUGGGGACAGGGAUGUUGGGGACAAAGAGAUUGGGGACAAAGAGUUUGGGGACAAAGAGUUUGGGGACAAAGAGAUUGGGGACAAAGAGUUUGGGGACAAAGAGUUUGGGGCCGAGGCCAUCUCAGCCCCGCAGGACUUGGGGGGCAGGGAUGUCCCCCCCCGAGGGGACAUUGGGGUCGUGCCCCACGGGGACGGGGACAUCCCGGCCUUUGGGGUCAGCGAGGAUGGCCGUGGGGACACGGUUGGGGACAUGGGGGGCGUGGAUGUCACCGCCCGGGGGGGUGAUGGGGACAGAGAGGGGACGUCGGGAAGGGUUGGGGGCGUUGAGGGCGCGCGCGGUGCCGGUGACGUCAUCACCAUCACGGUGACGGCCCCGCCGCUGGAGGACGGCCCCGGCGACGAUGACGUCAUCGCUGACGCCAUUGCCGCCCAACCGCGCGGUGUCGCGGGGGGGCGGCGACGUCACAGCUGCGCUUCCCGGUGACGUCAGCCCUGAGGGCGACGUCACCUCGGCGGUGGCGGGGGGUGACGUCGUGGCCGAGCUCGUCGACGGCGAUGACGUCACUUCCUUUCUCCCCGGAGGAGAGCCCGGUGGUGACGUCAUGGCUGCGGGUGAUGUCACUCCCCACCUCCCUGAGGGUGAGCGCAUGGGUGGUGCCGUGCCCGGGAGUGACAUCGAUGAUGACAUCAUCAGUGGAGAUGACGUCAUCUGCUCCCUCCCCAGAGGUGACCAGGCUGAUGGUGUUGUCCCUGGUGGUGAUGUCACUGAUGACGUCACCACGGAUGAAACGGUCGCUUCUUUCCAUGGGGACGACCACGCCCAUGAUGUCAUCCCUGGAGGUGACAUCACUGAUGAUGUCAUCACGGAUGAAACGGUCGCUUCUUUCCAUGGGGACACCCGCACCAAUGAUGUCAGCCACGGGCGUGACAUCAUUGAUGACGUCACGAUGGGUGAAACCAUCUCUUCUUUCCACGAGGGCGUCCACGCUGAUGACGUCACUCACAGAUACGACAUCACUGAUGACAUCACCCAUGGAUAUGACAUCACAGAUGAUGUAAUCAAUUGGGGUGACGUCACUGAUGACGUCAUUAUGAGCGAGGCCAUCACCUCUGCAGGCAGGGAUGUCCAUAUUGGUGACGUCAUCCACGGGGCUGACCUCACUGAUGACAUCACCUACUUGGCUGACCUCACUGAUGACGUCAUCACGGAUGAAACCAUCACUCCUUACCAUGGGGAGAUGGGCGGUGAUGACCUCAUCCACGGAGGUGACCUCAUCGAUGACGUCACCCUUGGAGGCGACCCUGGUGAUGAUGUCACACCCGGUGCUGACAUCACAGCCGCAAGUCCGGGCCGUGAUGUCACACCUGAGCACGAUGACAUCACCCCAAAGGAUGACGUCAUCAGUGACACCAUCAGCCCCGCAGAGGAGCAACCGCUGUGCCCGCGCCGUGACAUCACCGAUGACGUCAUCGCCCACGUGGGGCCCAGGAGGGGCGGAGCUACAGCCGCCCCCCAGCCCCAGACGAACCCCCCCGGCUGCCCCCUCGUCUUCCUCGGCCUCCUCUGCCUCCUCCUCAUCCUCCUCCUCCUCGCCGGCGUCUUUGCGGCGGUGCAUUACGUCAAAGUGUUCCUCAUCAGCUCCGUUCCGAUGGACCCCCCCCCCCCACCCCCAUGAGCCUCUAUGGGUUGGGGGGGGGGCACUGAUGUCACCUUGGGGGGGGGGGGGGGGGACACAGCUGACCCCCCCCCCCUCCCCCAUGAGCCUCUAUGGGGAGGGGGGGACACAGCGAUGUCACCUUAAGGGGGGGGACACACAUCUGACCCCCCCCCAAUGAGCCUCUAUGGGUGGGGGGGGGGCAUCGAUGUCACCUUGGGGGGGGGGACGGACACCUGACCCCCCCCCAAUGAGCCUCUAUGGGUGGGGGGGAACACAACUGAACCCUCCCCCCCCCCCCCACAAUGAGCCUCUAUGGGUGGAGGGGGGGCACCGAUGUCACCUUGGGGGGGGGCACACCUGACCCCCCCCCCACGAGCCUCUAUGGGUGGGGGGGGACAUCGAUGUCACCUUGGGAGGGGGGGACACACACCUAACCCCCCCCCCAAUGAGCCUCUAUGGGUGGGGGGAACACAUAUCACCCUCCCCCCCCACCCCAAUGAGCCUCUAUGGGUGGGGGGGUGACACCAAUGUCACCUUGGGGGGGGGGGACACACCUAAGCCCCCCCCCAUGAGCCUCUAUGGGUGGGGGGGGACAUCGAUGUCACCUAGCGGGGGGGGGGAAACACACCUGACCCCCCUCCAUGAGCCUCUAUGGGUGGGGGGGGCACCGAUGUGACCUUGAGGGGGGGGGACACACACCUGACCCCCUCCCCCCCCCCCAGUGAGCCUCUAUGGGUGGGGGGGGGGACAUCGGUGUCACCUUGGGGGGGGGGGGGGGGGGACACCUGACCCCCCCCCAUGAGCCUCUAUGGGUGGGGGGAACACAUAUCACCCCCCCCCCCCCACCCCAAUGAGCCUCUAUGGGUUGGGGGGGGGACAUCGGUGUCACCUUGAGGGGGGGGACACACCUAAGCCCCCCCCCCAAUGAACCUCUAUAGGUGGGGGGGGGACAUCGAUGUCACCUUGGGGGGGGGGGGGAAACACACCUGACCCCCCCAAUGAGCCUCUAUGGAUUGGGGGGGGGGACACACCUGACCCCCCCCCUCCAUGAGCCUCUAUGGGGGGGGACGACACAGCUGACCCCCCCACCACCACCCCAAUGAGCCUCUAUGGGUGGAGGGGGGGACAUCGAUGUCACCUUGGGGGGGGGGGACACACCUGACCGCCCCCCCCCCCCCCCCCAAUAAAUCAGUAAGGC
ensembl:lncRNA